rnacentral:rRNA from 1 species
CGAAAGCCUGACGGAGCAACGCCGCGUGAGGGAUGAAGGCCUCUGGGCUGUAAACCUCUUUUCUCAAGGAAGAAGAUCUGACGGUACUUGAGGAAUAAGCCACGGCUAAUUCCGUGCCAGCAGCCGCGGUAAUACGGGAGUGGCAAGCGUUAUCCGGAAUUAUUGGGCGUAAAGCGUCCGCAGGCGGCCUCGUAAGUCUGUCGUUAAAGCGUGGAGCUUAACUCCAUUUAAGCGAUGGAAACUGUGAGGCUUGAGUGUGGUAGGGCCAGAGGGAAUUCCCGGUGUAGCGGUGAAAUGCGUAGAUAUCGGGAAGAACACCAGUGGCGAAGGCGCUCUGCUGGGCCAUAACUGACGCUCAUGGACGAAAGCCAGGGGAGCG